rnacentral:rRNA from 1 species
GACGAACGCUGGCGGCGUGCUUAACACAUGCAAGUCGAACGCUGAAGCUCAGCUUUUGUUGGGUGGAUGAGUGGCGAACGGGUGAGUAACACGUGAGUAACCUGCCCCCUUCUUUGGGAUAACGCCCGGAAACGGGUGCUAAUACUGGAUAUUCACUGGUCUUCGCAUGGGGGUUGGUGGAAGGGGUUUUUCUGGUGGGGGGUGGGCUCGCGGCCUAUCAGCUUGUUGGUGGGGUGAUGGCCUACCAAGGCUUUGACGGGUAGCCGGCCUGAGAGGGUGACCGGUCACAUUGGGACUGAGAUACGGCCCAGACUCCUACGGGAGGCAGUAGUGGGGAAUAUAGCACAAUGGGCGCAAGCCUGAUGCAGCGACGCCGCGUGAGGGAUGGAGGCCUUCGGGUUGUGAACCUCUUUCGCUCAUGGUCAAGCCGCAACAAUGGUUGUGGUGAGGGUAGUGGGUAAAGAAGCGCCGGCUAACUACGUG